rnacentral:rRNA from 1 species
GCGUGUGUGAAGAAGGCCUUCGGGUUGUAAAGCACUUUCACCCGUGAAGAUGAUGACGGUAGCGGGAGAAGAAGCCCCGGCUAACUCCGUGCCAGCAGCCGCGGUAAUACGGAGGGGGCUAGCGUUGUUCGGAAUCACUGGGCGUAAAGGGCGCGUAGGCGGCUUUGCCAGUCAGGCGUGAAAGCCCCGGGCUCAACCUGGGAACUGCGCUUGAUACUGCGAAUCUAGAGUUCGGGAGAGGAGAGUGGAAUUCCCAGUGUAGAGUUGAAAUUCGU